GGUUUCCAUGGCUAUGGCAGUCAUCCAUGGGUUAGUCGGUCCUAAGUAGAGGCUGAAAAGCGUAUACGAUGGACAACAGGUUAAUAUUCCUGUACUGCUGAUACUUUCGAUGGAGAUAGAGGAUUGAAAAGGCAAGCCCCUUAUUGGAUUGGGGUGCAAGCAACAAGAGAGUCUUCCUAGGUAAAUCCGGGAAGGCGUUUCCACUUCGGUGGUUGGACGCGAGUUGUGAUGCAAAGGUGACCCUCGGGAAUCCGAUUUGUUGGAUUAAUCUUCCAGGAAAAGCUUCUAGAUUCAUGUACGCAAGUACAUGUAUUAGUAUCAGUAACCGUACUGCAAACCGACACUGGUGGACUGGUGUAAAUGCACCAAGGCGUACGAGUUAUGCGUCGUUAAGGAACUCGGCAAAUUAACCCCGUAAGUUCGCAAUAAGGGGGACUCUCCAUUAUGAGUAAUUUUUAUUUGUAGUGAUGAGAGUGGCACAGAAUAGGGAGGAGCGACUAGUUACCAAAACUACAGGCGCUUGCAAAUUCGUAAGAAGAUGUAUAAGUGCUGACGCCUGCCCAAUGCCAGAAGGUUAAGGUUUUGCGUUAACUUCCUACUGGGUGCACUUCGGUGCCCUAGUGGUGGUGAAGCGUGAAGCUGAAGCCCUGGUCAAUGGCGGCUGUAACUAUAACGGUCCUAAGGUAGCAUAAUACCUCGUCACUUAAUUAGUGACUUGCAUGAAAGGCGUAACGACUCUUCCUCUGUCUCGACGGCGCGCUCGGUGAAAUUGAAAUGGCUGUGAAGAUGCGGCCUACCUAUACCAGGACAAAAAGACCCCGUGGAGCUUUACUGCAACUUUGCAUUGGAAUAAAGAUUCGAAUGAAGAGAAUAGGUGGGAGACUUUGAAGUCAUCUCGUCAGGGAUGGCGGAGUCGUCAGUGUAAUACCACUCUUUUGUGUUUUUGUUUCUAACUGUUUCCAUUAUCUGGAAACUCGACAGUGCAUGGUGGGCAGUUUGACUGGGGCGGUUGCUUGCUAAAGAGUACCGCAAGCGCACUAAGGUCUCCUCAACCCGGAUGGAAAUCGGGUGAAGAGUGCAUAAGCAUAAGGAGGCUUUACUGUGAGGGAGACAUCCCGAUCAGUUACGAAAGUAGGUUUAAGUGACCCUUUGAUUGCGCGUGGAUGCGUCAUUGUUUAACGGAGAUAAGCUACCCCGGGGAUAACAGGCUAGUCUUGCCCGAUAGUCCAUAUUGACGGCAAGGUUCGGCACCUCGAUGUCGGCUCGUCGCAUCCUGGGACUGGAGAAGGUCCCAAGGGUUGGACUGUUCGUCCAUUAAAGCGGCAUGUGAGCUGGGUUCAGACCGUCGUGAGCCAGGUCGGUCUCUAUCCGGUAUAGGCGUUGUAUAUUUGAAGGAUUCAGCCCUUAGUACGAAAGGAUCAGGGUUUGGAAACCUCUGGUGUAUCAGCUGUACUACCAAGUGCAUCGCUGAGUAGCUAAGUUUCUUCUGGAUAAGUACUGAAAGCAUAUAAGUACGAAACCAUUCCUAAGAUUAAAUAUACUUGUACAGUUUACUGUACGGAAGAUCUGUGGUAGAUUACUACUUUGAUAGGCUCUAGGUGUAAGCACAGCAAUGUGUUUAGCCAAGGAGUACUAAUCGAUCGAAAGCUUCUUUUG
rnacentral:rRNA from 1 species